UCCACCCGAGACUCAGUGAAAUUGAACUCGCUGUGAAGAUGCAGUGUACCCGCGGCAAGACGGAAAGACCCCGUGAACCUUUACUAUAGCUUGACACUGAACAUUGAGCCUUGAUGUGUAGGAUAGGUGGGAGGCUUUGAAGUGUGGACGCCAGUCUGCAUGGAGCCGACCUUGAAAUACCACCCUUUAAUGUUUGAUGUUCUAACGUGGACCCGUAAUCCGGGUUGCGGACAGUGUCUGGUGGGUAGUUUGACUGGGGCGGUCUCCUCCUAAAGAGUAACGGAGGAGCACGAAGGUUGGCUAAUCCUGGUCGGACAUCAGGAGGUUAGUGCAAUGGCAUAAGCCAGCUUGACUGCGAGCGUGACGGCGCGAGCAGGUGCGAAAGCAGGUCAUAGUGAUCCGGUGGUUCUGAAUGGAAGGGCCAUCGCUCAACGGAUAAAAGGUACUCCGGGGAUAACAGGCUGAUACCGCCCAAGAGUUCAUAUCGACGGCGGUGUUUGGCACCUCGAUGUCGGCUCAUCACAUCCUGGGGCUGAAGUAGGUCCCAAGGGUAUGGCUGUUCGCCAUUUAAAGUGGUACGCGAGCUGGGUUUAGAACGUCGUGAGACAGUUCGGUCCCUAUCUGCCGUGGGCGCUGGAGAACUGAGGGGGGCUGCUCCUAGUACGAGAGGACCGGAGUGGACGCAUCACUGGUGUUCGGGUUGUCAUGCCAAUGGCACUGCCCGGUAGCUAAAUGCGGAAGAGAUAAGUGCUGAAAGCAUCUAAGCACGAAACUUGCCCCGA
rnacentral:rRNA from 1 species